ensembl:lncRNA
GUUUUUCACUGAGCUAGGCCUCUGAAUGGCUCCAUUCACCUUAGCAGGGGGAACACAGAGAAAAUAAUUGCCCACAGCUGCAUCAGCAUCUCAGUUCCAGGCGGCUCCACCAUGGACCCCAGAGCGUCUUGCUUCCUGUCCUGGUGUCUGCUCAUCUGAGUCACGUCAGACACUCCGAGCCCCUUGCCUUUGGGAUGUGAAUUUGAGACUUGGUCUUCCUGUUCUCAAACUCCAGUGGCGUCACAGUGCUUGACCGUCUAUUCACUGAAAACAACAAACUUGGUCUGUAACAAAGGGACUCACAGGAGAGGAUCAGAGAGGUGGCACCAUGAUGAAGACUUGGUCCAACGAGGCUGGCUUUGAAGACAGAGAAAAGGGGAACGUAAGCCAAGGAAUAUGGGCAGCCUCUAGAAAUCGGAAAAGACAAACAUCUUCCACGAGGCCCUGCUGACACCUGAGUUUUAGCCCCAUGAGAACCAUUUCAGGCUUUUGACCUCCAGAACUAUAAGAUAAUAAAUUUACGUCAUUCUAAGCCACUGAGUUUGUUACAGCACCAGUAGGAAAUGAAUAAAUUAUUCAUGAUAACUCUUUAUUGAACUUCUGUCAUAUUUCAGGCACUGUGUUAAGUGUUUCACAUUUAUUACUUAAUACAUAUAAUAGUUCUAUAAAGCAGGGGUUCUUGUUCCCAUUUUCUAAAUUUAGAAAAUGGGACUCAGGGAAAUUUAGUGACUUGGCCAAGGUCACACAGCUAGUGUGUAGCAGAGCAAAGAUUCAAAGGCUAACACCUCUAGCUCUAAAUGCCAUGUACCAUCAGCUUGUCCAGGCUCACCUCUGCUUAUCUGGAGUGGCUUAGAGAGUACCUCCUCAGGGAAUCUUUGUUUUCAGAUGCCAGACCUCAGUGAUCUAGGCCAGGGGUCCCCAGCCUCUGGUCCCCAGUACCUCCUGUCGGAUCAGUAACAGCAUUAGCUUAAAGUGCAGUAUAAAAGUAACGUGCGUGAAUCACCCUGAAACCACCCCCACCACUUCCCAGUCUGUGAAAAAAUCGUCUUCCACGAAACCGGUCCACUAGGCCAAAAAGGCUGGGGACCACAGUUCCAGGCCGCCUCUUCAGUAUUUUGAGUCCAACUGUUCUCUCAGAGGCUUAGUUUCUUGUAAAAAGAGGGUCAUAAUGCUCAUUGGGUGCUCUUCUGGGCUAUGGCAAGAUUUAAACCAGAAUGUGGGUGGUAAAAUUCUCUGAACUGUUAAGUGUUCUCCAUGUAAGUAAUUCAG